CCAUUUUUUUUUAUUUUGCGCAAACGUAAAGGUAUUUUGCAAUUUUAUUUUUUCCCGUGAUUUUUAAUUCCCAGGAGAAUAUAUAUGCUUUGUUUUCAUGUUGAUGUUGAUUUCAUAGUUGAAAUUUGACUUUAUAAUGAUGAAUCCUCUUUGAUUAAAUAUGAUAAGUAUCUUGUUUGUGCGCGCUAAAGCAAAUUACGGAAGUGGUUUGAGAGCAGCUGCGACGUGCCAUGCAAAUGAUCAUCAAGGCGUUCCGGUUAAAUGAGUAUGAG